GUAAUGUCUGGGAAACUGCCUGAUGGAGGGGGAUAACUACUGGAAACGGUAGCUAAUACCGCAUAAUGUCGCAAGACCAAAGAGGGGGACCUUCGGGCCUCUUGCCAUCAGAUGUGCCCAGAUGGGAUUAGCUAGUAGGUGGGGUAACGGCUCACCUAGGCGACGAUCCCUAGCUGGUCUGAGAGGAUGACCAGCCACACUGGAACUGAGACACGGUCCAGACUCCUACGGGAGGCAGCAGUGGGGAAUAUUGCACAAUGGGCGCAAGCCUGAUGCAGCCAUGCCGCGUGUAUGAAGAAGGCCUUCGGGUUGUAAAGUACUUUCAGCGGGGAGGAAGGUGUUGUGGUUAAUAACCACAGCAAUUGACGUUACCCGCAGAAGAAGCACCGGCUAACUCCGUGCCAGCAGCCGCGGUAAUACGGAGGGUGCAAGCGUUAAUCGGAAUUACUGGGCGUAAAGCGCACGCAGGCGGUCUGUCAAGUCGGAUGUGAAAUCCCCGGGCUCAACCUGGGAACUGCAUUCGAAACUGGCAGGCUGGAGUCUUGUAGAGGGGGGUAGAAUUCCAGGUGUAGCGGUGAAAUGCGUAGAGAUCUGGAGGAAUACCGGUGGCGAAGGCGACCCCCU
rnacentral:rRNA from 1 species